UCACAUAUUAUUCCCCUGAGUGCUCAUCCUAGGAUAUGUCAUGUCUUAUACUAGUCACAACCAAAGCUGCAUUUACAUCUCCAGCUGGUUUCCUCUAAGGCCUGAUUCACAUGACUGUGCCCGGUCUGAAAAACCUGGCCCAUGAGUUGGCUGCAUUGACUCGCGGCUCCCAUGUCCUGAACUGAAAGCGUCAUAGGGUUUUGCAAUAGUCAAUUCCUAUCGGAUUGUGGGUCUAUUGUACUGUACUCAUCAUGUGAGCACAGUGCAAUAGAUCCGUAAGCAGAUAGGAAGUGACUGUAUCAUAAAUCUCUAUGAUGCAGUCAGUUUGGGUCAGUGGAGCCGCAGGUGGUCCGGGAGAUGCGGUUGACACGUGGGCCAUAUUUUCUGAGCCGAGCGCGGUCAUAUGUAUCAGGCCUUAAUUCUCAGGGUAAUGAGCUUCACAGUUCCAUGCUGGGUCAGGGUCUGUUCACAGCUUGCUUUGUGGAUGAGCCCCCAAAAUGCAGUGAUUUAACAGCUCAUUUCAAUUCUUUGGGGGGUGUCUAGGUAAUUCUGAAUGCAGCU